rnacentral:rRNA from 1 species
CUGGGAGGACCAUCUCCUAAGGCUAAAUACUCUCUAGUGACCGAUAGUGAACCAGUACCGUGAGGGAAAGGUGAAAAGCACCCCGGAAGGGGAGUGAAAUAGAACCUGAAACCGUGUGCUUACAAGUAGUCAGAGCCCGUUAAUGGGUGAUGGCGUGCCUUUUGUAGAAUGAACCGGCGAGUUACGAUUUGAUGCAAGGUUAAGCAGUAAAUGUGGAGCCGUAGCGAAAGCGAGUCUGAAUAGGGCGUUUAGUAUUUGGUCGUAGACCCGAAACCAGGUGAUCUACCCUUGGUCAGGUUGAAGUUCAGGUAACACUGAAUGGAGGACCGAACCGACUUACGUUGAAAAGUGAGCGGAUGAACUGAGGGUAGCGGAGAAAUUCCAAUCGAACCUGGAGAUAGCUGGUUCUCUCCGAAAUAGCUUUAGGGCUAGCCUCAAGUGAUGAUUAUUGGAGGUAGAGCACUGUUUGGACGAGGGGCCCCUCUCGGGUUACCGAAUUCAGACAAACUCCGAAUGCCAAUUAAUUUAACUUGGGAGUCAGAACAUGGGUGAUAAGGUCCGUGUUCGAAAGGGAAACAGCCCAGACCACCAGCUAAGGUCCCAAAAUAUAUGUUAAGUGGAAAAGGAUGUGGCGU